rfam:Exophiala dermatitidis NIH/TT8656 unplaced genomic scaffold supercont1.2, whole genome shotgun sequence.
GCUCUCUUAGCUCAGUGGUAGCAGCGCCACACUAGUAAUCGUCAAUUCUGUCGUACGAGAUGUGGAGGUCACAGGUUCAAGUCCUGUAGGGAGCA